rnacentral:tRNA from 2 species
GCCCGGGUGGCGAAAUUGGUAGACGCAUGGGACUUAAAAUCCCUUGGCCUUCGGGCCGUGCCGGUUCGAGUCCGGCCCCGGGCACCA